UGGUUCUGGCAUCGAUGAAGAACGCAGCGAAAUGCGAUAAGUAAUGUGAAUUGCAGAAUUCAGUGAAUCAUCGAGUUUUUGAACGCACAUUGCGCCCUUUGGCAUUCCGAGGGGCAUGCCCGUUCGAGCGUCAUUUCACCACUCCAGCCUGGCUGGGUAUUGGGCCCGGGGGUGACCCGGUCCUCAAAGUCUUCGGCGAGAUCCACCAAAUCGUCGCGUCGUGAAUCCAUUCGCGAACGUGGAGGGGGGUCUCCGCCGCUAAACAUUCAUUCAGGUUGACCUCGGAUCGGGUAGGGAUACCCGCUGA
rnacentral:misc_RNA from 1 species